GGUGUCGGGCAAAGUGCCUGUCUUGUAAACAGGAGAUCCUGGGUUCAAAUCCCAGCAGUGCCU
rnacentral:tRNA from 1 species